GCCGAGGUAGCUAAGCCCGGUUUACGGCGCCGGCCUUGAGAGCCGGUGGUGCCCUGCACCACGGGAGUUCGAAGUGCCUGGGGGAAAUAACCCCCAGCCCGAAAGUCUCCCCCUCGGCG
rnacentral:tRNA from 1 species